rnacentral:rRNA from 1 species
UACGAAGGGGGCUAGCGUUGCUCGGAAUGACUGGGCGUAAAGGGCGCGUAGGCGGACGGCUUUGUCGGGCGUGAAAUUCCAGGGCUUAACCUUGGGGCUGCGUUCGAGACGGGUUGUCUAGAGUUUGGAAGAGGGUCGUGGAAUUCCCAGUGUAGAGGUGAAAUUCGUAGAUAUUGGGAAGAACACCAAAGGCGAAGGCAGUGUCCUGGGGAGUACCUGACGCUCAGGUGCGAAAGCCAGGGGAGCGAACGGG